rnacentral:rRNA from 1 species
CCUACGGGGGGCUGCAGUGGGGAAUAUUGGGCAAUGGAGGAAACUCUGACCCAGCAAUGCCGCGUGAGUGAAUGAAGGUCUUCGGAUUGUAAAGCUCUUUGAUUGGGGACGAAUAAAUGACGGUACCCAAGGAACAAGCCCCGGCUAACUAUGUGCCAGCAGCCGCGGUAAUACAUAGGGGGCAAGCGUUGUCCGGAAUGACUGGGCGUAAAGGGUGUGUAGGCGGUUUCGCAAGUUGGAAGUGUAAUACCUAGAGCUUAACUCAGGUGCUGCUUCCAAAACUGCGAGACUUGAGUGUCGGAGAGGAAAAUGGAAUUCCUAGUGUAGCGGUGGAAUGCGUAGAUAUUAGGAGGAACACCAGAGGCGAAAGCGAUUUUCUGGACUGUAACUGACGCUGAGGCACGAAAGCGUGGGGAGCAAACAGGCUUAGAUACCCGUGUAGUC